GAGUGGACUAGAACAAGAUGACAUGAGAAUUUUGUACAAAUACCUCACCACCUCACUGUUCCCCAGACACAUCGAACCUGAGUGCCCAAAGAGGCCAGAGGAGGAAGGACACUCGGGGCCUCUGGGACUAGACGUAGAGACUGUUGUGAGCUCUCUGUGAUGGCCUCCGGAAGAGCCGUCCGUGCUCCUAGCUGCUGAACUGCCCCCCCGAAACACUGCACUUUCACCAAAGCAUGCCAAGCCCAAAUCUUCACGGAGACUUGGUGUCAUGGCUAAAGAUACACAUGCUGACCCCAGACAGGCCUGGGGUUGACAUCCGCCAUCACUGUCCAGGAGCUGUUUCUGUGAUGCUGAGCCCCCACAUGUGGGGAUGGAGAAGAGAGUCUCCAUGGGGCCAUGGGAAAAGACUUGAAGAACCUUAUGCCAUAUGGAAAUCCAGUUACUCUUGGAGAAGAACUGAAGUAGUCCGCAGGAUUAGGCUUAGAUGGAGUUAUAUUAUGACAGUCCUGAUUAAAUUAGUUCUUUAU
rnacentral:lncRNA from 1 species